GAACCACAAAUAUUGAAAGCUAAUUGGCAAUUAUACUACAAGUAAAUUAUAGUAGUACUAUGCUAUACUAUUUCACCUUCUGUUUUUGAACCUGGGAGAUAUGAGGGCCUGCAAUGGAUUCUUCAUCACCAUUGUAAACUCCUGCUUCUCAGACAGGUCAAUGUCAUCUCCAUCCACAGCCUUCCACUCAAAAUUCCAAACCAAAUUAGCCACAAAAUACUCCAAAUGAAGCAAUGCUAAGGCAUAACCAGGGCACAUCCUUCUUCCCACUCCAAAUGGCAUCAUCUUAAUCUCCCUACUUCCUGUUAUAUCAAACAUUUCUUCACUGUCCAUGAACCUCUCAGGUCUGAAUGCCAUGGGAUCCUCCCACACCUUUGGAUCCCAACCUAUAUCUGCUACCAUGAAAUUUAUAGUCCCAUUUUUGGGCACUAAAUAGUUGCCCAACACUGCGUCUUCAGUCACUGCAUGUGGCAACACAAAAUGCCCUGGUGGGUGCCUCCUUAGCCCUUCUAAAACUACAGCUUUCA
rnacentral:misc_RNA from 1 species